CCUUGUGGUUAAGGCCUUUGGCUUUUCCCAAAGAUAGAGGGGUUCGAAAGCUGGUAUGGUGGUGGUGUGGUGGCGGUGAACUGGUUGUGGUGUUUGUUCCUUGAACUCCAAGGCCCAAAAGAAAAAGAAAAAAUAUAGGAUAUAUAUACCAAUGAGGUAUUCUAAAAUACCUCUGUUUUGUUUUUGCCUCAUCCCAUUCUCUUUUGACCUUGUGCAGAUUCUCCACAACUGAAUGUUUGAUAUUGCUGGUAUAAAGUCUCUGCAGGUUCCUGGUGGCAUCUUUCAUAGACAUUCUAUCCUUUGGUGAUUCUUCCUAGCAUGCACUUCCGAUCUCAAGGAUUGGAAAUGUAUUCUCUUGAUAUAGUCUGAUAUAUCUUUGGUUCUCCCAGUCUAUGAGUUGGCUCUUGACAAUGGUGAGAACUGAGAAGAGAAGGGUCUACAAUAUAAAGUUUUCCCCAUAUUUGCGCCGCUCUGCAACCUUUUCAUGGUUAGAUCGGAGGGAUAUAGGAAGACACGGCUUCGAUAAUUCGAAAGCUGGUAUGGUGUUGGUGAUGAAGAUGUUCUUGCUUGCUUUAAAUAUGAAACCCUGAAAGAAAGAACACAAGGCAUGACUAUAAUGAGGUUUCUAUGAAAUGGUUUGGAUUCAGAAGGGUAGAAGUUCGACAUUUUACAACAGGUUAGCCUUUUUCAGUGUCCUAGAACUCAGAGCUUCUGCAGAUGCAAAGGUUUUCUUCAGUAGGGCUGAAUGACCAAUACAUUUUCAAAGAUGGUCAUAUACCUUACACAACUUUGGAAGGCAUGAACUGUGGUUUUAAGUGCAUUGAUCUAAAGUAUAUCUGGCAUGAGACCUGAUAUUACAAAUACUUGUGUAUAGGCUUAUCGCUGUAUAUAGAUAAAAAUUUGCCUAAUCAAAGUUCACUGAAAUCACUCAUUGAGAAAUGCUUAUAUGGAAGCAUUAAUGAUGAUGAAUUACGUGGCCAAUAAUGGAUUAGUGAUAUCAUCAAUCUUCAAUCAGUUUUUUUUUUUUUCCUUAUGUUCCUAUAUUAGUAAUAGUGACAUCAUUCACUAUAAUUGGUCUUGACUACAAAAAGUUACCUUCUGGUAUAUGUCAUGUAAGAGAAAAGAAACAGUACCAUUUCCUCACAAGUUGUUGUAUCUUGAAAAUGUGUGGGGUUACUGAUUCCAGAAAAGGGUAUCUUGUCUGUACAGUGAUUUUGUUUUUAUUGCAAUGAGUAGCUAAACCGUACCAUAAUGGUUAUUUUGACAUUGAUCCAUGUGGUAAAUUUUGUAUUUAGUGUGCUCCAAUAUUUGCUGUACUUGGUUGAGUAUUGAGGGUACGUACUUUUCAAUGUUUCUUCAUAGACAGCAUUCAAUUUAGACUGCUGAAAGUUUACGUCUUGGACAUGAACUUAUUCUUGGUUCACUUGUGUACAGAAUUCUGUUUCCUCCAGAAUGCAUGGUGGCUUUACAUUUUGUGUUUUGAACUUUUGAAGCUAGGAAAACUAUGUUGUGAACUUGUGAUGUUAUGAGAAAUUGCAAAAAAAAGGUCAUCCUGUUAAUGAUUUUUUGUUUGAAUUUCUUUUCGAACUAUGUGAUUCUAUUUCUGUAGUUCCAGGAAAUUAGAUUUUAAACUUGGAUAACCUUUUGUUUUGCCUAGUUGUAAGGGUUUUUGUUGAAUGUGUUGUUUUGGAGAUUUUUUCUUCUGUUUUGUGCUUUCAACUUCAGGAGCUUCCUGAAGGUAGCUGGUAUUGUCCGCAUUGCACCUGUUGGAUAGAUGGCAAUUCUGCUGAUGAUAAAGAGGCUUCAAGCACUUCUGAUGGAUUUCAAUGUUCACAGUGCAAGCAAAAACCUUUUGUUAGACUAUCUUUCUUGCACCUAAAUAGUUUUCAUUACCUGUAGAGAGGGCUUAAAGUUGUUUGUUGUGGACGUGUGCUAUGUACAUCAGAACCGACAGGUAACUGAUAUUGGUAAAAGAAAAUCACCCUUAGUAUAAAGAGUUUCCAUGCUAGAAAUCAAGAUUUUCAAUUAACUUUUAAGUUGGCAUGCUGAAGCUGGUUAACGUUUUUAGAAGGUGUAUAGCAUUAGAAGCUUAUGAGAUGGUUAAAGAACAGAAGUAUUAUGUUUGAAAGCAGACAAUUAUUUGCUAUCAUCUUUCAGCUUUGACUUGUUAUGAAUUCUCAAUUUCACAUCCUGUCUAUGUGCUAUUAUAAUCGCUUUAUCUGCUUCUACUUCUUAGAUCAGUCGGAACUGGUUUUCAAUUAAUUAUCUUGGUUUUAAAAAUUAUUUCCUCUGUGUGUUACUAAUGACCUUGUGGAGAAGUUAAAUUACCUUUCCAUCUUGGUUUCACGGAAGUUCGAUGUCUACCUUGAUCAUGAGGCAUGUCUCAAUAAAAAAUGCAUUUAUGUAGGAGCCAUGCAUACUGAAUUCUUGGUUGUGUUGUAGAAGCUGGCAAGAGGUAUGUUAGCAAUUCUAAAUACACUUAGGAGGAUCAGUUGAUUUUAACAAAUGAGGAAAUUAAGGAUUUCUCUUUUAUCCUGCCAUGUUUUUAUUGGUAAAGCAAGGACUUCACUUACAGCUUGCUAGUGUUCAAUCCCAUUGUUUCGAUAUGGAAUAUUGUGGUUUUACUUUCCCGAAGCUUCAUUCUAACUUUAGGCAAAUACUUGCAAACUGUUAGUGUCUUGUUAAUUAUAUCAAGGACUCCAUUUUUUAACAAAGAGGUCUAGCUUGCUUGCUGCAUGUCUUCUGUUUUUCAGAGUCAAAUGAGGUUAAUAUUCAACUUAAUGCGUAUAUUUUUCUCUUGCCAGAGUUCUCUUCCAAGGCUUGACAGAGGGGUGGUAGUGGAACUCUAUUGAAGAUGUAUUUCCCAGAUGUGCUCAUUCGACAGUGGCAGAAAGAGCAAGGUCCAAAAUUUGCACAAGUCUUCCGAGUGUUGCCAGAUAACAAAGUUGUGGAGAUUCAAACCGUCUUUAA